AGAGUGAACGCUGGCGGCAGGCCUAAUACAUGCAAGUCGAACGGCAGCACAGCAGAGCUUGCUCUGUGGGUGGCGAGUGGCGGACGGGUGAGGAAUACAUGGGAAUCUGCCCAGUCGUGGGGGAUAACGUAGGGAAACUUACGCUAAUACCGCAUGCGCCCUUCGGGGGAAAGCCGGGGACCUUCGGGCCUGGCGCGAUUGGAUGAGCCCAUGUCGGAUUAGCUAGUUGGCGGGGUAAUGGCUCACCAAGGCGACGAUCCGUAGCUGGUCUGAGAGGAUGAUCAGCCACACUGGAACUGAGACACGGUCCAGACUCCUACGGGAGGCAGCAGUAGGGAAUAUUGGACAAUGGGCGCAAGCCUGAUCCAGCCAUGCCGCGUGAGUGAAGAAGGCCCUCGGGUUGUAAAGCUCUUUUGUCCGGAAAGAAAAGCGCCGGGUUAAUACCCUAGUGUCCUGACGGUACCGGAAGAAUAAGCACCGGCUAACUUCGUG
rnacentral:rRNA from 1 species